rnacentral:rRNA from 1 species
AUAUGAAGUCGGAAUUGCUAGUAAUCGCAGAUCAGCAUGCUGCGGUGAAUACGUUCCCGGGCCUUGUACACACCGCCCGUCACACCAUGAGAGUCGAUAACACCCGAAGCCUGUAGUCUAACCAUAAGGGGGACGCAGUCGAAGGUGGGAUUGAUAAUUAGGGUGAAGUCGUAACAAGGUAUC